rfam:Hepatitis C virus isolate QC105, complete genome
AACCGCCGGCCACAGGACGUCAAGUUCCCAGGCGGCGGUCAGAUCGUUGGUGGAGUUUACGUACUACCACGCAGGGGCCCCAGGUUGGGUGUGCGUGCAGUGCGCAAGACUUCCGAGCGGUCACAACCUCGCAGUA